AUGGACAGUGUACAGGGGAGGGGCAUUGUCCACCCUCCAGUGAGAAAGAGAGAGAGAGAGUGUGUCUCCUUGACUCCGAAGGCACCUGCCCCUGGGGAAGAGGAAGCUGAGAAGUGCCCCACUUGUCUCAGCUCCAUCCGCCCUGGCCCAGCUUUUAGGAAGGGAAAACUAGCCACGUCCCGCCCCUUCCAGCCAAAGCCCAGGAUUCAGCAGGGGCAGGGUCUCGGGUGGGCAUGGUGGAGCCAGUGUCCUGUCAGAAGGGUCCUGCGCCUUCCCAGGAGCCCUGGCCACCCAUUUCUCAAAGUAUUUGGCUGCGAAUUUCCCUGGAAAAUGAGGGCUUUUAGGGGGAAGGAAACUAACAAAAAAAAAAAUCCGACCACUGCAUUGCAGUGCCUCCCAUAUUGGUGCAGGCUGCUCUGCGGCUGUUGGAGGUGCGUGAGUGCCCACGCCCCCACACGCACACUUGCACACAUUCCCACAUGUGUGCACACACAUGCUCACACUCCUAUACAUACACACAUGCACACACACACCUACAAAUGCACACACACUCAUACAUUCCCACACAUUCAUGCACUGUGCACACAAACACACAUGCACGUGUGCACACAUAUCCUUGUACACACUCAUACACCUACACAUACACACACUUGCUCACACACUCCUACACAUGCACACACAUGCUCACACACCUACACAUGCGCACACACAUCCAUGGACAUGCUCACACACCUACACAUGCACACACAUACUCACACAUUCCUACACAUGCAUGCACAUGUGCACACAAUCCAUGCACACACGCACAUGUGCACACAUAUCCAUGUACACACGCACACUCUUACACAUGCACACGCACACCACACACAUCCAUGUACACACAUGCACACGCACCCACACUCUCCUACACAUGCACACACAUGCUCACACAUUCCUACACAUGCAUGCACAUGUGCACACAAUCCAUGCACACACGCACAUGUGCACACAAUCCAUGCACACACGCACAUGUGCACACAUAUCCAUGUACACGCUCACACUCUUACACAUGCACACGCACACCACACACAUCCAUGUACACACAUGCACAUGCUCACACACUCUCACAGACUCAUGCACAUACACAUGUGCACACAAUCCAUAUACACACAUGCACACACACAUCCAUGCACACACACUGCUACACAUGCACACACAAGCACACGUGCACACACAUCCAUGCACACACACACCCAGCCUGCACCUAAGCCUCUGGCCUUCUUGUCCCCUCCAGCGGCUGCUGUCAUUGCACUGGGGCUGGAGGUGGGAGAUGUGGGGGCCUCGGCUCUCCUGCCCUGGCUCUGGGCUGGCCCAGGCAGGAUCCCGAGGCAUCUGUGCAUACAGAGUGGGGGUGGGGGAGAAUGGGGCCAGGGUGGCUUCCUGGAAAGUGACUGCUGCUCCUGCUACUCUGCCAGGCCCUCGGGUUAG
rnacentral:lncRNA from 1 species